UACGAAGGGGGCUAGCGUUGCUCGGAAUCACUGGGCGUAAAGGGUGCGUAGGCGGGUCUUUAAGUCAGGGGUGAAAUCCUGGAGCUCAACUCCAGAACUGCCUUUGAUACUGAGGAUCUUGAGUUCGGGAGAGGUGAGUGGAACUGCGAGUGUAGAGGUGAAAUUCGUAGAUAUUCGCAAGAACACCAGUGGCGAAGGCGGCUCACUGGCCCGAUACUGACGCUGAGGAGCGAAAGCGUGGGGAGCGAACAGG
rnacentral:rRNA from 1 species